AGUGCCCACUCAACUGUUUUAGCUAUUGUUAAAUGUUCCCGAGAGAGUCGAUUUCAACAACCACAUCAUAUGAGAUGCUGGAAUGGCUCCUGCCUAUCGUCUCUGCACUUUGGGAGGCAGAGGCAGGAGGAUUGCUUGAGCCCAGGAGUUUGAGACCAGCCUGGACAACAUAACAAGACCUCAUCUUCACCAAAAAAAAUAGAAAAUUUAACCAGGCUGAUGGCACAUGCCUGUGGACCCAUCUACUUGGGAGGCUGAGGCAGGCAGAUUGCUUGAGCCCAUGAGGGCAAGGCUGCAGUAAGCCCUGAUCACACCACUGCACUCCAACCUGUCUCCAGACUAAAAAAAAAAAAAGCUGGAUACCAGAUUCUGGGGGAAUACAGCUAUGAGAAAUGUAAGAAUUCUCAAAUGCUUGUCACUUCCCCAUGUUGGUUUUGUUUAGCUCUGGGUGUUUUCCCACACCACUUAUUAAGAAAGUCGUUAAAGGCUGGGCACAGUGGCUCAUGCCUGUAAUCCCAGCACUUUGGGAGGCUAAGGCGGGUGGAUCACUUGAGGCCAGGAGUUCAAGACCAGCCUGGCCCACAUGGUGAAACCCCCUCUCUACUAAAAAUACAAAAAAUUAGCUGGGUGUGAUGGCGUGCACCUGUAGUCCCAGCUACUCAGGAGGCUGAGGCAGGAGAAUCCCUUGAACCCAGGAGAUGGAGGCUGCAGUGAGCCAAGAUCGCACCACUACACUUCCAGCCUGGGUGACAGAGCAAGACUGUCUGAAAAAAAAAAAAGAAAAAAAGAAAGAGAGAGAGAGAAAGAAAGAAAGAAGAAAGAGAAAGAAAGAAAGUUGUUAAAAUGAGAAGUUGAUGCAUGCCUGUUUGCAAAGGGAGAAAUUGGAGCAAUUCCAUUUUGCUCUGCAGUCAGGUUUGUGAGAAGAACCCUCCUAUCAGGGCAGGUUUAGUUUAGUAAGGUUAAUUUUUUUUCCUGUGUUUUUUUUUGUAUUGGCAUUAUAUAUUUUUUUCUUAAAAAAAUCCUUGAAAAUUCAAGUAUAGUUAAUAUUAACAGGAAACAGCCAGUCUUGCACCUGUGAACCUGCAAAAAGGCAGGGCAGGAGGAGGGGAACUGGCCACCCUAGCAGAGGACACUCAGGCUGCAUAAGGAACAGAUGCUUCUGGUGGGGACACAGGGCUCUCAGAGUGCCCACACUGUGACAGGUAAGAUUUACAGACACACAUCAACAAGGACAUUGGGGUCACUCUCCACACUUCUGU
rnacentral:lncRNA from 1 species